GCCUGGGUGGCUCAGUCGGUUAAGCGUCCGACUUCGGCUCAGGUCAUGAUCUCGCGGUCCGUGGGUUCGAGCCCCACGUUGGGCU
rnacentral:tRNA from 1 species